rnacentral:rRNA from 1 species
AUACGUAGGGGGCAAGCGUUGUUCGGAAUUACUGGGCGUAAAGGGCGCGCAGGCGGUUCGCCAAGUCCCGUGUGAAAUCCCCCGGCUCAACUGGGGAACUGCGCGGGAAACUAGUGGACUCGAGUUCGGGAGAGGAAAGCGGGAUUCCGGGUGUAGCGGUGAAAUGCGCAGAUAUCCGGAGGAACACCAGUGGCGAAGGCGGCUUUCUGGACCGACACUGACGCUGAGGCGCGAAAGCUAGGGGAGCGAACGGGAUUAGAAACCCCGGUAGUCC